UACGAGGGGGGCAAGCGUUGUUCGGAAUUAUUGGGCGUAAAGGGUGCGUAGGCGGUUUGGUAAGUCUUAUGUGAAAUCUACAGGCUCAACUUGUAGUCUGCAUGAGAAACUGCCGGGCUUGAGUAUGGGAGAGGUGAGUGGAAUUCCUGGUGUAGCGGUGAAAUGCGUAGAUAUCAGGAGGAACACCUGUGGCGAAAGCGGCUCACUGGACCAUGACUGACGCUGAUGCACGAAAGCUAGGGGAGCAAACGGG
rnacentral:rRNA from 1 species